UACAGAGGGGGCAAGCGUUAUUCGGAAUUAUUGGGCGUAAAGGGCGUGUAGGCGGCCGUGCAAGUGGAAGGUGAAAUCCCUCGGCUCAACCGAGGAACUGCCUUUCAAACUGCAUGGCUUGAGUCCGGGAGAGGUGAGUGGAAUUCCCAGUGUAGCGGUGAAAUGCGUAGAUAUUGGGAGGAACACCAGUGGCGAAGGCGGCUCACUGGACCGGAACUGACGCUGAGGCGCGAAAGCGUGGGGAGCAAACGGG
rnacentral:rRNA from 1 species